rnacentral:lncRNA from 1 species
GAAAGAGUCACAAGGAGGAGAUCAUUAUCUUCUCACUGAUUCCAGAACUUGAUCCAGAACAGGCGUCCGGCUAAAUGACGUUAACGACAGCGCUUCUUGGGAGGCAACCCAAGGUUAUAUGUAUAUGUAUAUGUAAUUCUUACGUAUAACUUCUAUUCACACAAUUGAUUUUCUCCAACUCUAUGCGUUGAUGGGUGUGUUCAGUGUUUCAGGUUAUGAUAUGAAUGAAAUUUGUGAAAGAAUCUUAGCUCGUUGUGGUUUGUCAUUAGUGCACGAUCAUGCACUCUCUCAUGCACCUAUAUUGAGCCUACGUGACAUUUUUCUUCGAGUUGCAUGGUCAUGCAAUCUGCUACAUUAUCAUGUCCUUCGCAACCUGCCCC